AGUGAACGCUGGCGGUAGGCCUAACACAUGCAAGUCGAACGGCAGCACAGUAAGAGCUUGCUCCUACGGGUGGCGAGUGGCGGACGGGUGAGGAAUACAUCGGAAUCUACUUUUUCGUGGGGGAUAACGUAGGGAAACUUAUGCUAAUACCGCAUACGACCUACGGGUGAAAGCAGGGGAUCUUCGGACCUUUCGCGAUUGAAUGAGCCGAUGUCGGAUUAGCUAGUUGGCGGGGUAAAGGCCCACCAAGGCGACGAUGCGUAGCUGGUCUGAGAGGAUGAUCAGCCACACUGGAACUGAGACACGGUCCAGACUCCUACGGGAGGCAGCAGUGGGGAAUAUUGGACAAUGGGCGCAAGCCUGAUCCAGCCAUACCGCGUGAGUGAAGAAGGCCUUCGGGUUGUAAAGCCCUUUUGUUGGGGAAGAAAAGCAGCAGGUUAAUACCCCGCUGUUCUGACGGUACCCAAAGAAUAAGCACCGGCUAACUUCGUG
rnacentral:rRNA from 1 species